rnacentral:rRNA from 1 species
UACGAAGGGGGCUAGCGUUGUUCGGAUUUACUGGGCGUAAAGCGCACGUAGGCGGACUAUUAAGUCAGGGGUGAAAUCCCGGGGCUCAACCCCGGAACUGCCUUUGAUACUGGUAGUCUUGAGUUCGAGAGAGGUGAGUGGAAUUCCGAGUGUAGAGGUGAAAUUCGUAGAUAUUCGGAGGAACACCAGUGGCGAAGGCGGCUCACUGGCUCGAUACUGACGCUGAGGUGCGAAAGCGUGGGAGCAAACAGG